GGGCCCGCACAAGCGGUGGAGCAUGUGGUUUAAUUCGAUGAUACGCGAGGAACCUUACCAGGGCUUAAAUGUAGAGUGACAGGUCUAGAGAUAGAUUUUUCUUCGGACACUUUACAAGGUGCUGCAUGGUUGUCGUCAGCUCGUGCCGUGAGGUGUCAGGUUAAGUCCUAUAACGAGCGCAACCCCUGUUGUUAGUUGCCAGCGAGUAAUGUCGGGAACUCUAGCAAGACUGCCAGUGCAAACUGUGAGGAAGGUGGGGAUGACGUCAAAUCAUCACGGCCCUUACGUCCUGGGCUACACACGUGCUACAAUGGUAGGUACAGAGAGCAGCCAAUGCGUGAGCAUGAGCGAAUCUACAAAACCUAUCUCAGUUCGGAUCGGAGUCUGCAACUCGACUCCGUG
rnacentral:rRNA from 1 species